CAGUAGCCGCGGGAAUACAGAGGGUGCGAGCGUUAAUCGGAUUUACUGGGCGUAAAGCGUGCGUAGGCGGCUUCUUAAGUCGGAUGUGAAAUCCCUGAGCUUAACUUAGGAAUUGCAUUCGAUACUGGGAAGCUAGAGUAUGGGAGAGGAUGGUAGAAUUCCAGGUGUAGCGGUGAAAUGCGUAGAGAUCUGGAGGAAUACCGAUGGCGAAGGCAGCCAUCUGGCCUAAUACUGACGCUGAGGUACGAAAGCAUGGGGAGCAAACAGGAUUAGAUACCCCUGUAGUCCCUGUCUCUUAUAA
rnacentral:rRNA from 1 species